CGUGCUUAACACAUGCAAGUCGAGCGGUAAGGCCCUUCGGGGUACACGAGCGGCGAACGGGUGAGUAACACGUGAGUAACCUGCCCCUGACUCUGGGAUAAGCCCGGGAAACCGGGUCUAAUACCGGAUAUGACUCCUGCUCGCAUGGGUGGGGGUGGAAAGGUUGGUUUUCCUUCCGGUCGGGGAUGGGCUCGCGGCCUAUCAGCUUGUUGGUGGGGUGACGGCCUACCAAGGCGAUGACGGGUAGCCGGCCUGAGAGGGCGACCGGCCACACUGGGACUGAGACACGGCCCAGACUCCUGCGGGAGGCAGCAGUGGGGAAUAUUGCGCAAUGGGCGGAAGCCUGACGCAGCGACGCCGCGUGGGGGAUGAAGGCCUUC
rnacentral:rRNA from 1 species